rnacentral:lncRNA from 1 species
GGGAGUGCUGGCGGGCCAAGGGCCUCUCACUCUGGGCCUCCAGUGUCCAGACCUGGACCUCGGCCAGCGGUGACAGGAGGUACACGUGACGGGAGGGCUGGGGAUUGUGAAUAAAAGUUGUUUCUUUUGUGCGGAACCCAGGGCGAGGAUGAGACGCUUAACAGAGCUUAGCAUCAGGGUCACCGGCCAGUCCGGCCCCACCCCUCGCUGGACAGCCGGGCCGGCCUUCCUUCUGGGGACAGUGAGGCGUCGCAGUGCAGGACAGCUUCCUCCCCCGCAAGGGCAGCGUGGCCCCAGGCUGGCUACUUCCAGGCAGCACCUCCCUUCUGCCCUCCUUGUUGUCCUUCGGGCCUCUCUGACCUGUCACGAAUGCUGCUGGUGCGGAUGAGAAUUUCCCCAAGGAGCGCUUUCUGCUCACGCCCCCAGCUCAGUCCGAGGGAGGUGGGUGGGGCCCGACGCUGUAGCCGGAAGUCGUUUCUGCUGUGAAAACGGUGCUCUGCGCAGUGCGCUGAGUUCCUGUCCUCGGAGGACUCCUAUUCGCCACUUGGAGUGCUCACAGGGUGCUGCGCCCUGGGCAGAGGCCCUGAGGCGACAAGGAACCGGGGCAACCAACGGAAAAGACAAGACAUCGGGAGAAAAUGACGGGGAGAAGAAAGUCCAGGAGGAGUUUGACAUCGACAUGGACGCGCCAGAGACAGAGCGCGCAGCUGUGGCCAUCCAGUCUCAGUUCAGAAAGUUCCAGAAGAAGAAGGCUGGGUCCCAGUCCUAGCGGGGCCCCUUCCCGGCCCGGCCGAGACACUGAGUCUUCCACUAACAGCAGUGCCGCACAGAGUCCGCACCCCGCGCUGCACCCCAAGAUGCAUGCACAGAGACCCGCAGCCUCCCAGGCGGGCGGAGCAGCUUAGUCUCCGUGUCCACCCCUCCCCGCGAUGACUGUCCCUGAUGUUGUAAUAAAAGGAGCUAAGACCGAGUCCAGUGUCGCCUUGGUCUGUCUUUACUUGAAUCUAGGAAGUUCCAGGGUAGCGGUGACUGCCAGCCAGAGGUCUGCUUUCCUCUCCCCUUAGGAGUCAGGGAGCGAGCUCAGAGCCUCUGAGUUGCCUGCAGCUCUGCGCCUGUGAGGCGCCGAGGGCCAGGCGCUGGCCUCCUGAUGCUCCACACCCCCAGCUCCCCCCGUCACCUGCUGCUUGCUCCCUUAGGAGUCAGGGAGCGAGCUC